ACGUGUUGUAAUUGAGUAAGCUUCACAGAAUAGCAUUUUUUGAAGGAAUUUGCAGCCCUUUUUUAACGGCUAAGAACACAAGAAAGUCCAUUCUUUGAAGAUAAGUGGUAAUACUUGGAUAAAAUCGAAAAAAUAAAGGUUUUAGAACGAAUAUUUUGAUCUAAAACUCGAUUUAAUGUUGGCUUUUAUUGAAGCUCUUUCGAUUUCCUCGCCAUUGGUAAAAUC